AUAGCGCGUGAUAUUAUUUAUCCUAUAUUGAAUUGAAACAAUUGAAAAAGUGGAACACACAAGAAUUUAUGGUAUCGUAUGUUUUGGAGUUCAUCUUUUAACAUUUAUGAGUGAAUUUGACUACUUACGGAAUUUGUUGAACAUUGUAAUACUAAUCAAAACACCUUGAGUAUUAGUAUAUUGUUAGUUUGUUAGCUUAUUUGGUUUAGAGUUAUUGAUAAAAAGUGAUUA
rnacentral:lncRNA from 1 species